GGGAUGUGGCUUAGUGGUAGAGCACUUGCCUAGCAUUCAUGAGGCCCUGGGUUUGAUCCUCAGCACCACCCA
rnacentral:tRNA from 1 species